GAUUCUGGCUCAGGAUGAACGCUAGCGGCAGGCUUAACACAUGCAAGUCGAGGGGCAGCGGGAUGUAGCAAUACAUUGCCGGCGACCGGCGGAUGGGUGCGUAAUGCGUAUGCAACCUACCUUAUACGAGGGAAUAACCUUCGAAAGGAGACUAACACCCAUAGUUAUUGAUUAAGGCAUCUUAGAUUAAUUAAAUAUUUAUAGGUAUAAGAUGGGCAUGCGUAUGAUUAGCUAGUUGGUAAGGUAACGGCUUACCAAGGCGACGAUCAGUUAGGGGUUCUGAGAGGAAGGUCCCCCACACUGGUACUGAGACACGGACCAGACUCCUACGGGAGGCAGCAGUGAGGAAUAUUGGUCAAUGGGCGCAAGCCUGAACCAGCCAUGCCGCGUGCAGGAAAGACGGCCUUAUGGGUUGUAAACUGCUUUAACAUAAGACUAACCGUAUAUUUGCGAAUAUACCUGAAUGUAUUAUGAGAAUAAGGAUCGGCUAACUCCGUGCCAGCAGCCGC
rnacentral:rRNA from 1 species